GGUCUUGUAUUUUAAUUAAAAAUAUUGGAUUGCAAAUCUGAAGAUGAUAACUCUAAGACUU
rnacentral:tRNA from 1 species